CUGAUGUCCUUGGAUGAUGAUGUGGAUAAUUACUAUACAGUUGCACCUUCAAGAAUCACAAUGAGGCAGUUCAACAGCAACGUAUAAAAUAGACAGAAGUUGAGAGGAGAACUAUUUGACUUCUUCAAGUACAAAAACUGGAUGGCGGAGGUCAUUUAAGACACUAUCUCGUACUCUGGGUUAGAAUUAUGGGACGGUUUUGAUUUAACCUAGGUUUGAUAACUGGAAUCACUACCACAUCGUAUUACUUACAGACAUAAUCCAUGUAUCUGAGUCUGCAUCUCUGUUAUAAAGGGGUAAUUUCUGGAGUGUGUACGUGUGCAUGCAUGUGUGUGUGUGCCUGUGUGUGUGUGCUUUGCGAUAUUAAGGCAUAGCAACCACUAAGUGUCACUCAGAAUACUAUACUAGAUGGCAAAUUUUUCUCCCCAGGCUUGCAAUCACAUUUGAGCUUUAAAACAGUUCAUAGCUGAGCAGAGAAUGAGCUUUUAAAUGUCCAUGUUUACUGAUCAUUUACUGUAUAACAGCCUUAGCCUUGAAAGUGCUAUAAACACACAUUCAUUAUUUAAUUAAGUUCUUACUGCAACUAUGAUUAGCUACCAUUGUUAUCUCUAUUUUACAGAUGAAGAAAGAAAUUGAUACUUCAGAAAUUUAAGCAAUUUGUCUAGGGUCUGUCACUGAAAUCAGCCAUUUGUGGUUCCAGAAUUGAUCGUCAUCUAGCUAAUAAAUGGCAGAGUUGAAAUGUGAACCCAAGUCUUUUGACUCCAAGGCUCAGGCUUUUAACCAGCUUAACAGCCUUGCUCUUUAGAAAACAACCUAUUAUGUAGAUGAUAUAUCUAUCAGAAGCUGAACCCGGGACCAAAUACACACAUAUACCCACAUCGUGAAACAAAAUAAAAAAGCAGUUAAUUAAAACAUCUGCCUAAUUUUUGGUUGCUCAAAAGGGAAAGAAAUGACUUUUCCCAAAGGAUUUCUCUCCUUUUCCCUGCGUUAGCUCAAUGGGACCCACACUCCAGGUAUCCAGGCUUUUCUUGAAGACCCAGAUGUGUGUUUUGUUUCCAGGAUACCUGAGAUACAAGAAUGUUCUCCCGCCUACUUCACAAUCUCCACUCUGACCUCCCAAACACUCCAAAGUCAGCAGGAGGAAGUAGAAAUGAGACAGAGGCCUCUGUCUCCUAAUCUUUUCCAUAGGCUACUGUUUUCUUUCUUUUCUCAUGAGGAAAAAUGAUAAAAGCAAAAUAAACAAAUUAGCUACCACUUAUGAAAAUCCCCAGGAAAUUCCUUUUCCAGAGUUCUCACUUACUAAUUUGGCUAACAUUACCAAUGGUAACAGACCCCACGUAUCCGCCACAAUUGCUGUGAGUUGCAGAGGAAAAAGACUGGGAGGAAAUCUUCACUUUUCUUCUGCAACAGCAACCAACAGAAAUGAAAGAGCCAGGGGAUUUUGCAAAAUAUCAACUCCUGAGAACUAAGAAUGAGAGCCUUUCCUGCCAAGCCCAUUCUGUGCCAGUCAUCAUAAAAUACUAUGACCCUUCCUUCCAGAAGAACAAUGCGCUGUGAUCUUUGGCUACUCAAGCUUUACAUCAUCCAUAUUACCCUGCAGCAGGAACAGAUUGAUGGGUAUUUUCACUGCCCCCAGAGAGUUACCCUCUAAUCCUUCAUUUGCUGCUCCAGCACAAUUGCACGGAAGCAAUAGCAGGGAUAGUUAGAGUGCAUACAAUUGAUUCCAAUCCAUCCAUCACUUAAACUACUGUCUAGGACAUCAGGAGGCCACAAAAAAAAAAAAAAAGAAAGAAAAAAAGAAAAACUUUUGAAUCAAGAAAUGCUUUGUCCAUUCCAGGUCAAGGAAAAUCAUGAUGCAAUUUGGUUGGAUACUUUGACUUUAGAAAAGUUUCUCACUUCUCAGUAGAGAAAGUUUAAUGUUUGCAAACAUGCAGUAAUGAGGUAACAGUUGCAGUAAUAAGCAUUUUUAAACUGCAUUUGUGGAAGAGCAGCUUCUACCUACCACGAUCUUUGGAUUCUAGCGUUAAUAUUUCUUACUGGGGCAUUAUGAAAUUUUAAGUGGGAAAGAUACUUAGUAACUUAAAUAAUUUUAAUGCAAAAUAAUUAACACCUAUUAUCUAAAAGACUAGUCCUGUUCCUUAAGGGGAUCAGAGACACAGACACCACCUACAAGCUGCAUAUUAUCUGGGAGGUGGGGGGAAGCAUACACAUACACUGAUAAUAAAUACAUAGGACUCUAAAAUGGUUUCCAGUAUUUACUGACUCUUCUAUGAUACUGUAUUUAAGGCCAUGGAAUCUAACCUUAAAUUUUCCAGCCACCUAGCCCCACACCCAUGGCUGCAAGCAUCAAAAGAGUCCACGCUAAAAAUGGAAAGACCAUUAAAGCUUGGAAUUGUAGGAAGAGGAAGGAGACAGGAAGGACACUCCAGGCAGAGAUAAUAGAGUGGAGUCAAAGAGAUUAAUAAAAUGUUCCAUAGGAGGCAUUAAGAGGGUGCACCUGGUUCUCAGGUUUGCAGCUUCUUCGACAACUGUCUGUGGUUAAAUACGACCUUAAAGGAACAAUGAAAAAAAGGGAAACACCAUCUCCACAAAGAAUAAUGCACUGUAAAAAGUGUUAGGUAUUUCUUUCCCCUCAUAAUUCUAAGGGACAAGUCUUCGCAGUUAGAAUUCGAGUUUAAUUUUUUGAAUGUGAAAAUAAAUUGCAUAUGUGAACAUGCUUUUUGCAAGUUAUGUGAUUUAGAAAAACACAGGCAAAUCUAUUGCUUUCAUACUUACAUUAUAAAUGCCAGAUACAUAACCACAAUUUAGGUUUCAUUUUUUUUCAACUCGAACAAUAGUGUUCCCCGAAGGAAAAUUGGCUUGACUGAGGUAAAUACUAAAAGUUAGUGUUUUGAACUCUUG
rnacentral:lncRNA from 10 species